GGCCUGGUGGUGUAGUGGGAACAUAUCCCCUUACAAUGUCCAUGGAUGAUUUUAAUUAUUAAAGGGAAGCACCCCGUUCGAUUCGGGGGCUGACUG